UACGUAGGGUGCAAGCGUUGUCCGGAAUUAUUGGGCGUAAAGAGCUCGUAGGCGGUCUGUCGCGUCGGCUGUGAAAACCCGGAUCUCAACUCCGGGCCUGCAGUCGAUACGGGCAGACUGGAGUUCGGCAGGGGAGACUGGAAUUCCUGGUGUAGCGGUGAAAUGCGCAGAUAUCAGGAGGAACACCGGUGGCGAAGGCAGUUCUCUGGGCCGUAACUGACGCUGAGGAGCGAAAGCGUGGGGAGCGAACAGG
rnacentral:rRNA from 1 species